CUACCACAUCCAAGGAAGGCAGCAGGCGCGCAAAUUACCCACUCCCGGCACGGGGAGGUAGUGACGAAAAAUAACGAUACGGGACUCUUUUGAGACCCCGUAAUCGGAAUGAGAACGGUCCAAACCCUCUAACGAGGAUCCAUUGGAGGGCAAGCCUGGUGCCAGCAGCCGCGGUAACUCCAGCUCCAAUAGCGUAUAUUAAAGUUGUUGCGGUUAAAAAGCUCGUAGUUGGAUCUCAGUUCCGGUCGGGGGAUCCGUCUUCCGACGGUCAUCUCCCGGACCGAACAGCCGGCCGGUCUCCCUCGAUGAUCUUCAUCGGUUGUCUCGGGUUUGACCGGCGAGUUUACUUUGAAAAAAUUAGAGUGCUCAAAGCAGGCUCCAGAAGCCUGGAUAAUGGUGCAUGGAAUAAUGGAAUAGGACCUCGGUUCUAUUUUGUUGGUUUUAGGAUCACGAGGUAAUGAUUAAGAGGGACAGACGGGGGCAUUCGUAUUGCGGCGCUAGAGGUGAAAUUCUUGGACCGCCGCAAGACGAACGACAGCGAAAGCAUUUGCCAAGAAUGUUUCCAUUAAUCAAGAACGAAAGUCAGAGGCUCGAAGGCGAUCAGAUACCGCCCUAGUUCUGACCAUAAACGAUGCCAGCCAGCGAUCCGGCUGCGUUCCUCAAAUGACGCGCCGGGCAGCUUCCGGGAAACCAAAGCUUUUGGGUUCCGGGGGAAGUAUGGUU
rnacentral:rRNA from 1 species